GCUCAGAUUGAACGCUGGCGGCAGGCCUAACACAUGCAAGUCGAACGGUAACAGGAGACAGCUUGCUGUUUCGCUGACGAGUGGCGGACGGGUGAGUAAUGUCUGGGAAACUGCCUGAUGGAGGGGGAUAACUACUGGAAACGGUAGCUAAUACCGCAUAACGUCGCAAGACCAAAGAGGGGGACCUUCGGGCCUCUUGCCAUCGGAUGUGCCCAGAUGGGAUUAGCUAGUAGGUGGGGUAACGGCUCACCUAGGCGACGAUCCCUAGCUGGUCUGAGAGGAUGACCAGCCACACUGGAACUGAGACACGGUCCAGACUCCUACGGGAGGCAGCAGUA
rnacentral:rRNA from 1 species